CAGUAAAUAGUUUAAGAAAAAUUUUAAUUUUGGAGAUUAAUGAUGAGUGUAUCUUUUUACUGA
rnacentral:tRNA from 1 species